rnacentral:rRNA from 1 species
CCAAUAGCGUAUAUUAAAGUUGUUGCAGUUAAAAAGCUCGUAGUUGAAUUUCGAGAUCAAAUUGUUGGUCGUGCCUCGGUACGUACUGGUAAUUUUGGGUUCUCCCUUCUGAAGAACCAUGAUGUCAUUAAUUUGGCGUCUUGGGGACUCAGGACUGUUACUUUGAAAAAAUUAGAGUGUUUAAAGCAGGCUCGCGCUUGAAUACAUUAGCAUGGAAUAAUGAAAUAGGACGUUUGAUUCUAUUUUGUUGGUUUCUAGGAUCGACGUAAUGAUUAAUAGGGAUAGUUGGGGGCAUUAGUAUUCAAUUGUCAGGGGUGAAAUUCUUGGAUUUAUUGAAGACUAACUACUGCGAAAGCAUUUGCCAAGGAUGUUUUCAUUAAUCAAGAACGAAAGUUAGGGGAUCGAAGACGAUCAGAUACCGUCGUAGUCUUAACCAUAAACUAUGCCGACUAGGGAUCGGAUGAUGUUAAUUUUUUAAUGACUCAUUCGGCGCCUUACG